UGUUGGUUUCUCCCUUCUGACGAACCAUGAUGUCAUUUAUUUGGUGUUGUGGGGAAUCAGGACUGUUACUUUGAAAAAAUUAGAGUGUUUAAAGCAGGCUCACGCUUGAAUACAUUAGCAUGGAAUAAUGAAAUAGGACGUUUGAUUCUAUUUUGUUGGUUUCUAGGAUCGACGUAAUGAUUAAUAGGGAUAGUUGGGGGCAUUAGUAUUCAAUUGUCAGAGGUGAAAUUCUUGGAUUUAUUGAAGACUAACUACUGCGAAAGCAUUUGCCAAGGAUGUUUUCAUUAAUCAAGAACGAAAGUUAGGGGAUCGAAGACGAUCAGAUACCGUCGUAGUCUUAACCAUAAACUAUGCCGACUAGGGAUCGGAUGACGUUAAUUUUUUAAUGACUCAUUCGGCGCCUUACG
rnacentral:rRNA from 1 species